UGAGGAAUAUUGGUCAAUGGACGGAAGUCUGAACCAGCCAAGUAGCGUGCAGGAUGACGGCCCUAUGGGUUGUAAACUGCUUUUGUAUGGGGAUAAAGUUAGGGACGUGUCCCUAUUUGCAGGUACCAUACGAAUAAGGACCGGCUAAUUCCGUGCCAGCAGCCGCGGUAAUACGGAAGGUCCAGGCGUUAUCCGGAUUUAUUGGGUUUAAAGGGAGCGUAGGCUGGAGAUUAAGUGUGUUGUGAAAUGUAGACGCUCAACGUCUGAAUUGCAGCGCAUACUGGUUUCCUUGAGUACGCACAACGUUGGCGGAAUUCGUCGUGUAGCGGUGAAAUGCUUAGAUAUCAUGAAGAACUCCGAUUGCGAAGGCAGCUUACGGGAGCGCAACUGACGCUGAAGCUCGAAGGUGCGGGUAUCGAACAGG
rnacentral:rRNA from 1 species